UUUGUCUCUGUAACUCUGUUCAUGGG
rnacentral:misc_RNA from 1 species